rnacentral:rRNA from 1 species
GACGAGGGGAGAGGGGCCGAGAGCCUUUCCCCCCCCUCCGAGGUCGGAAACGAACGCACGGACCUCAGAUCAGGCAAGGCUACCCGCUGAAUUUAA